rnacentral:rRNA from 1 species
UCUGAAUAAAAGUAGUUAAGUUCUUCUUAACUCAAAGAAUUUGGCGGUUAAUGGAAUUUUCAGAGGGGCCUGUAUAUUAAUUGAUAAACCACGAUAGGUUUUACCUUUAUUGUUUAUUUGUAUAUCUCUAUGUCAGAGGAAUGUUUUUUAAAAAUUUAUUUUCUUUUAGAUUUAAUCUUAAAUUUUAGGUCAAGGUGCAGUUUUAAAUGGGUAUAUAUGGGUUACUAUAAUUUUUAUUAUUUAUUUUUAAUUCCUUUGAGGAAUUUUAUUUAAUAGGAUUUGAAAGUAAUUUUAAUUUAUUAAUUUUUUUGAAUUAU